rnacentral:rRNA from 1 species
CAGUAGCCACGGGAAUACGUAGGUGGCAAGCGUUGUCCGGAAUUAUUGGGCGUAAAGGGCUCGCAGGCGGUUUCUUAAGUCUGAUGUGAAAGCCCCCGGCUCAACCGGGGAGGGUCAUUGGAAACUGGGAAACUUGAGUGCAGAAGAGGAGAGUGGAAUUCCACGCGUAGCGGUGAAAUGCGUAGAGAUGUGGAGGAACACCAGUGGCGAAGGCGACUCUCUGGUCUGUAACUGACGCUGAGGAGCGAAAGCGUGGGGAGCGAACAGGAUUAGAUACCCGCGUAGUCCCUGUCUCUUAUAC